UACGUAGGGUGCAAGCGUUAAUCGGAAUUACUGGGCGUAAAGCGUGCGCAGGCGGUUUUGUAAGUCUGUCGUGAAAUCCCCGGGCUCAACCUGGGAACUGCAUUUGUGACUGCAAGGCUGGAGUACGGCAGAGGGGGAUGGAAUUCCGCGUGUAGCAGUGAAAUGCGUAGAUAUGCGGAGGAACACCGAUGGCGAAGGCAAUCCCCUGGGCCUGUACUGACGCUCAUGCACGAAAGCGUGGGGAGCAAACAGG
rnacentral:rRNA from 1 species